GCCUGGCUAACUCAGCUGGUAGAGUGUCAGAGUUUUAAUCUGAUGGUCCAGGGUUCAAGUCCCUGGUCAGGUA